GUUACUUUGGUAGCACAUAGUAAAUUGGAACAAUACAGAGAACAGUAGGACGGCCCUUAGGUCAGCAUGACAUGCACAUUUGUGAAGGUUUUCUCUCUGUC